rnacentral:rRNA from 1 species
UACGAUGGGAGGGCUAGCGUUGCUCGGAAUCACUGGGCGUAAAGAGUGCGUAGGCGGUUUUCUAAGUUUGGUGUGAAAUCUCCCGGCUUAACUGGGAGGGUGCGCCGAAAACUGGAAGGCUUGAGUAUGGGAGAGGUAAGCGGAAUUCCUGGUGUAGCGGUGAAAUGCGUAGAUAUCAGGAGGAACACCUGCGGUGUAGACGGCUUACUGGACCAUAACUGACGCUGAGGCACGAAAGCGUGGGUAGCAAACAGG